rnacentral:rRNA from 1 species
UACGUAGGGGGCGAGCGUUGUCCGGAUUCAUUGGGCGUAAAGAGCUCGUAGGCGGCUUGGCAAGUCGGGUGUGAAAACUUCAGGCUCAACCUGGAGCGGCCACUCGAUACUGCCAUGGCUUGAGUCCGGUAGGGGACCACGGAAUUCCUGGUGUAGCGGUGAGAUGCGCAGAUAUCAGGAGGAACACCGGUGGCGAAGGCGGUGGUCUGGGCCGGAACUGACGCUGAGGAGCGAAAGCGUGGGGAGCGAACAGG